rnacentral:rRNA from 1 species
GACGAACGCUGGCGGCGUGCCUAAUACAUGCAAGUCGAACGCAGUGGGGACGGGUUAGUAACACGUGGGUAACCUCCCAUCAGAUAGGAUAACACUUGGAAACAGGUGCUAAACCGAUACUGAUGGAUGGACCCGCUGUGCCUUAGCUAGUUGGUCAGGUAACGGCUCACCAAGGACACGCCGCAUAGCGGCCCGGGUAGGGUGUUGGCCCCCACUGGGACUGGGAAACGGCCCAGACUCCUACGGAAGCCAGCAGUAGGGAAUCUUCGGCAAGGGCGGAAAGUCUACCCGAGCAACGCGCCGUGAGGGAAGAGGGUUUUCGGUUCGUAAACCUCUGUUGUUAGAGAGACGGUAUCUAACCAGAAAGCCACGGCUAACUACGUGCCAGCAGCCGCGGUAAUAC